ensembl:lncRNA
GGUGUCCAUCUAGUUCCUGCAAAAGCUAGCAUAUUCUCCUAGGUUAACUUCAGUAUUCAUCAGAGAAGGAAAGUUUACACAUCUGAGUCCUGUUUUUGGCCUCGGUCAUCACGGUCUUGGUCAACAGUUUCGAAGGCAUGAGCUGCUUCCCUGGGUAGAUAUUGUCAUCGUCUCCCCAAGGAAAUCCUAAAGAGCUUUCUGAAUUUUAGCCAAGCAUCCUAUUUUUGUGGCUGCUCCUCAAAAGAGAAUUUUUUUUUAGACACGUCUAAGAACAUUGUGACAAGAAAACUAUUUAUGGCUUUUUUUGAUAAACAAUAAAUUUUGGGCGCUUAAGGUUAUAGGAGGUGAUAUAUGAGGGGAACGAACAGGUUGUCUGAGAUGGAAGAAACGCACUUCCUGUUGGCACCGUGAAGCUCUCUCGCUCAGCCUGACUUGUCCAUAGCUAGAGAUUCAUGAAAAGGAAGAUGCCACAGGACAGAUAGACAGGAGUUUCCGCUGAGCUGGGCAAGCGGCAAAAGCAGGGAAAACAUCUGCAGCCUUUGUUCCACUUCUGAAAGUGUGUGCCUCCUGAUAGUUCCUCAAGUCAUUUUCAGACUCUUGAAAUCAUGUCUACGAAAACCAGUUUGCUUUAAAACAUGAGGCAGGAAAUGGAGUCGGUGACUGGAGAAACAUAAACAAGACCACAGACCUGGUCAUAGGUUGGCAGUCGUUAAAUCGGUGGCUCGGUCGAAGAGCAUCUCCUAUUUUAUCCUUUCGUGCAAGUUUGACCAUGGUGAAAAGUUUACACUAAUAUGAACGGAUCCUGUUCUCUUCAUGUAAGGUUCUAACUGAUGGGCUUUUCUGUCAGAAAGGAGAAGUGGUCGUAUGGACAGUGGAGCACAUGCACCUUUGUCAAAGAAAUGUCUUGAAGGAGACCAGAGCUCCAGCACAAUGUGCGGCACCCUGGGCUGGGACCAGGGACAUGAACUCAUAACCUCUGGGGAACCGUCCAAGGGGUGAAGACCUGUGAGGAAUAUGGUUGCCAGACAGCAAACUGUGACAGGAGCUGUUCUCAGUCCCCAGCUUUCAUCCUCAGCGUUUCCCCCAGGAUUUGGAUGUCACCAUUUCUUUUCAGGUUCACAGUUACACACACACAUGUCUUCCACUCCGCUGGGAUCUCACUGUGUCAUCAGCCACUCCCUCUCUCUCAUGCUCAGCCUUUCUGACCACCAGCUCCUGUCCUCAGAGCUUUCACUGCAGAUUUUCCAAAGUCCCAUCUCCCUCAAGAUGACUCAAAUCCUUCUCGAUCCCUUCUUAAGCAGUGCCCUGCUCCCAUCUCCAGCUGUCUUAAGUCUUCAGUCCGUGGACUUCUGCAACCAUCGUAUUCUUCAAACUACAGGGAUUAGAAAGCACAAAUUGCCUAUUUAACUAAUUUGAUGUCUGCCUUAAUCUGAUUGCCUUUCACAUUUAUUUAUUUGCUUGUUUAUUUAGUGUGUGUGUGUGUAUGUGUGUGCACGUACAUGUGUACACACGUGUAACAGAGUGUAUGUGUUGAAGUCGGAGGACAACUUUCUGGAGUAGCCUCUGGAGAUCAAACUCAGGUCCAGGCUUGGGUGGCAACCACCUUUACCCACUGAGCCAUCUUG